AUUGCUCCUCUCUCUUCGUCAUUGGUGUCAAAAUGGGAAGGAGAUUUAAUUUUUCCUUCAUAAAGACAUGCCAUCCCAUCAACGACAGCGGAACCUCCACCCAGGUACGACAACCGGAACUACUGUAACUUAAUAAAUAAAAAACAAACAAUAGAAAUCUUAAAAGUCAACAUCUAAGAACUCGUUUAAAUAAAAGAAUAAAUAUAAAAAAAAAAAAUAAAUAAAUAAAUACAAGAGCAAGAACAACCAACAGGAUUUACCGAUAAUCUUCAAUCUCGAAUCUAAAAUCUUCAAAUUAAAGGAACAAAAUUCAACGGAUUCAUCGUUACAGAUUAAAAAAUGUGGUUUUAUGAGUGAUUAAUUUUAUUAGUAACAUAUUUAUUAAAAGAGUUUGAAGUAAUUUCGUGGUGGUGGUGACCUAAGUCACUUUUGAGGACGGACAAUAAAUUUAAUUAAAAAAAUUUAUUGAGAGAUGAUCACCCGGAGGCAGUGGAGUUAGCAAAAUUAAAAGCGUUCAUGGUGUAGAUCGCUGCUUAGGGAAUG